rnacentral:rRNA from 1 species
AUGCCUGCUGUCAGAUCUUGGCUUUAUUUUGUUGGCUUAUUGACUGUUCUUCACUUAUCUGCUGUGCCAACAGGGAGAUCCAACACAAGUGAGGAGACUUGUGAUAACAUACCACGUAUAAAGGAGAUGAAUUUUUCACAUAAACACCAAAAUCCAUAUAUCACAGAAUCCUCGCAGUUCAAUUCUGUUGAAGAUGGUCCUAGAAUUUUAGAUCCAGCAGUGAACAAGAGAACAUCUACACAUACAAGAAAUUUUAUUAAAACAAACCCUAGCUAUCUCCGAACACUUGGUCAAACACAUGCUGGCUGGAUCUUUGGAGCAGUAGCAGAGCUCAUAGAUAACUCCAGAGAUGCUGGUGCAUCCAGAUUGGAUAUUUCCAUCCAAUCUAUGUUUUCAAAGAAAGCAAAAGGAAAAGUUCCUGUCUUAUGUGUAUCUGAUGAUGGCCAUGGAAUGACUUACGAGGAAAUGAUGAGAAUGGUCUCAUUUGGUCACGACAAACCUAAUGAAUACUGCCAGGAUCAGAUUGGGAGGUUUGGAAUUGGAUUUAAGAGCGGGGCUAUGAAACUUGGGAAAGAUGCACUAGUGCUUACCCAAACUUCAACUUCCAGAUCAGUGUCCUUUCUUUCCCAGUCCUUCAAUGACAAGAAAGAUAAUAUUGAGAUCCCUGUGGUGACAUAUUGCAAAGAAGGACAAUACAUGGAAGUUGAUUUGGAUGUCCAUUCUAAAGCUGCUGCAGAGCAUAACCUCGAUGCAAUCAAGGAAUUUUCUCGGUUUAAUGAGUACUUCAUUGGAGAAAAAGUGGGGUUAUUUGGUGAAGACGGUACUGGUACACAGGUUUAUAUAUGGAAUUUAGACAGAUGGGGUGAAGAUUACGCCUUGGAAUGGAACCCCGAGAGGACUGAUGAAAAUCCUGCUGGUCAUGGUAACGGAGACAUAUUAAUCCGUUCAAAAAGAGUCAGAUCACGUCCAAGACAGACAAGUAAAGAUGUGCCAUUGGAUUAUUCGCUUAAGGCUUAUCUAGAAGUUAUGUUCCUGAAUCCUCAGAUGAAGAUCACUGUCCAAGGUUCUCUGGUCAUAACCCGUCAUUUGGAGAAAACCCUUGAUAAGACGUCUGUUAUGUCCGGUGAAAUAAAGGGAAGGACCAUUUGGCUGACGCUGGGGAUGAGUGUUGAAGAAUAUGAUAGAGUUAACUGUGGGAUGUUCUUGUUUUGGCAUGGCCGUCUAAUAGAGUCUUACAAACGAGUUGGUGGUCAACAGCACAGUCCUGACGUUGGGCGUGGAAUGAUAGGAGUUGCAGAUAUUACCGACAUCAUUGAUAAUGAAGAUGGUAGUACUUGGGUUCUUAACAGCAAGCAAGGGUUUCAAGAUUGUGAAAUGUAUGUCAAACUGGAGGAGUGGCUCGGAAGAAAAGCAGAUGAAUACUGGGAUACAAAUUUUGACAAGCUUGAAUUGAGAGAAGACUGUGAGCACAUCGAGGCUGUUGCUGACUGGGUUCAGUGCAACAGCUGUCGUAAAUGGAGAGUGCUGAGAGUGGGCUUCGAUAAAGACUCUCUGCCCACUGAAUGGUUUUGCCACAUGCCGCCUUUCAAUGGGAAAUGUGAGAUUGCACAGCAACAGAUGGAAGUUGGGGUGAUCACGGUUGCUGCGAAGAGAUCUGGUGACACAAAGGUAGCCCAGCUGAAGGUUCAAAGACUCCGUCAAGAUGAAGAUGUUAAGGUAACAACAAAUCCAAAGCUUCAUUCUUUGUGA